rnacentral:rRNA from 1 species
AUUGAACGCUGGCGGCAGGCUUAACACAUGCAAGUCGUGCGGGGGAAGGUAGCUUGCUACCGGACCUAGCGGCGGACGGGUGAGUAAUGCUUAGGAAUCUGCCUAUUAGUGGGGGACAACAUCUCGAAAGGGAUGCUAAUACCGCAUACGUCCUACGGGAGAAAGCAGGGGAUCUUCGGACCUUGCGCUAAUAGAUGAGCCUAAGUCGGAUUAGCUAGUUGGUGGGGUAAAGGCCUACCAAGGCGACGAUCUGUAGCGGGUCUGAGAGGAUGAUCCGCCACACUGGGACUGAGACACGGCCCAGACUCCUACGGGAGGCAGCAGUGGGGAAUAUUGGACAAUGGGGGGAACCCUGAUCCAGCCAUGCCGCGUGUGUGAAGAAGGCCUUAUGGUUGUAAAGCACUUUAAGCGAGGAGGAGGCUACUUUAGUUAAUACCUAGAGAUAGUGGACGUUACUCGCAGAAUAUGCACCGGCUAACUCUGUGCCAGCCGCCGCAGUAA